rnacentral:rRNA from 1 species
AGGAACCGUAGCCUUGAGAGGGGAAUAACACAGUGAAAAUUGUGCUAAUACCGCAUGAAGCAGUUGAGUCGCAUGGCUCUGACUGCCAAAGAUUUAUCGCUCUGAGAUGGCCUCGCGUCUGAUUAGCUAGUUGGUGGGGCAACGGCCCACCAAGGCGACGAUCAGUAGCCGGACUGAGAGGUUGACCGGCCACAUUGGGACUGAGACACGGCCCAGACUCCUACGGGAGGCAGCAG